rnacentral:rRNA from 1 species
GAUGAACGCUGGCGGCGUGCCUAAUACAUGCAAGUCGAGCGAACGGACGAGAAGCUUGCUUCUCUGAUGUUAGCGGCGGACGGGUGAGUAACACGUGGAUAACCUACCUAUAAGACUGGGAUAACUUCGGGAAACCGGAGCUAAUACCGGAUAAUAUUUUGAACCGCAUGGUUCAAAAGUGAAAGACGGUCUUGCUGUCACUUAUAGAUGGAUCCGCGCUGCAUUAGCUAGUUGGUAAGGUAACGGCUUACCAAGGCAACGAUGCAUAGCCGACCUGAGAGGGUGAUCGGCCACACUGGAACUGAGACACGGUCCAGACUCCUACGGGAGGCAGCAGUAGGGAAUCUUCCGCAAUGGGCGAAAGCCUGACGGAGCAACGCCGCGUGAGUGAUGAAGGUCUUCGGAUCGUAAAACUCUGUUAUUAGGGAAGAACAUAUGUGUAAGUAACUGUGCACAUCUUGACGGUACCUAAUCAGAAAGCCACGGCUAACUACGUGCCAGCAGCCGCGGUAAUACGUAGGUGGCAAGCGUUAUCCGGAAUUAUUGGGCGUAAAGCGCGCGUAGGCGGUUUUUUAAGUCUGAUGUGAAAGCCCACGGCUCAACCGUGGAGGGUCAUUGGAAACUGGAAAACUUGAGUGCAGAAGAGGAAAGUGGAAUUCCAUGUGUAGCGGUGAAAUGCGCAGAGAUAUGGAGGAACACCAGUGGCGAAGGCGACUUUCUGGUCUGUAACUGACGCUGAUGUGCGAAAGCGUGGGGAUCAAACAGGAUUAGAUACCCUGGUAGUCCACGCCGUAAACGAUGAGUGCUAAGUGUUAGGGGGUUUCCGCCCCUUAGUGCUGCAGCUAACGCAUUAAGUACCCCGCCUGGGGAGUACGACCGCAAGGUUGAAACUCAAAGGAAUUGACGGGGACCCGCACAAGCGGUGGAGCAUGUGGUUUAAUUCGAAGCAACGCGAAGAACCUUACCAAAUCUUGACAUCCUUUGACAACUCUAGAGAUAGAGCUUUCCCCUUCGGGGGACAAAGUGACAGGUGGUGCAUGGUUGUCGUCAGCUCGUGUCGUGAGAUGUUGGGUUAAGUCCCGCAACGAGCGCAACCCUUAAGCUUAGUUGCCAUCAUUAAGUUGGGCACUCUAAGUUGACUGCCGGUGACAAACCGGAGGAAGGUGGGGAUGACGUCAAAUCAUCAUGCCCCUUAUGAUUUGGGCUACACACGUGCUACAAUGGACAAUACAAAGGGCAGCGAAACCGCGAGGUCAAGCAAAUCCCAUAAAGUUGUUCUCAGUUCGGAUUGUAGUCUGCAACUCGACUACAUGAAGCUGGAAUCGCUAGUAAUCGUAGAUCAGCAUGCUACGGUGAAUACGUUCCCGGGUCU